AUCCCUUAGCCGCUUCUUGAAGAAAAAGAAGAGUUCUAUUUUAUUUUCUCAUGCGUUGAGAUAGGAUCACAACCAAAAAGAAAGAAACACAAGGGAGCUCAAAGUUGAGAGUUUGCUAGCACAAAUUUCGACUUAGGGAUUUACACGCUCUUAGUGAAGAAAUUUCGGCAAAUCACUAUGUGGAUCACCAUUAGAGGCAAGACAACUAUGCUCUGUGGUUUGAUAAGUUUUAGUUGAUGUACAAAAGUUAAAACGAAAAGCCAAGGAGGACUCCACCAAAGAAAGUAGACUUUCAGUUUGCUGGAAUUGUAUUCUUGUGUGACAAGGACUUGCAAAAUCAUGGCUAUUUGUAUUCCGAAUUUACUGAGGUUUUGAGAGCUUUUUGGCAUGAUGUUUGGGGCAUGGGAUGUCUCUGAAUUGGUGCCAAAAUCGCAGCAAACAAUGGAGUAUGGAGCUUCAAAGGAUUUGGGACAGCAUAGGUGAUGCAGACCCAAUAAAAUUACACUAGCUUGUGCUAUUUCUUCUCUAUAUAAUUAAGAGUUGUACUAAUUUGGUUGUGACCUGAAUUUAGACUCCUAAUUGUAAUGGAAUAUAUCCUAAAGAGUUUAGGAUUGCUCCAAAUAAGAUUCUAAAAUCAAAUUGGCAAAGAAAUAGGACUCUUGGCCAUAAA